rnacentral:ncRNA from 1 species
GGAUUCCGGGUCCGCACCCGGAAUGGCUCUUCCGGCCGCCUAUCCGCCGGACAAC